GUCUUUGGACUUGAAACCAAAAUGAGGAUGGCUAAAGCUAUUCUUCAUUUUUCAGGAAGUAGUACCACAGCUGAAGUUAGCAGUUGGAACCAGAAAGAAAGUCCACUAUCUCAUGUUCAAUGGGAAUAGAGCAGAGAGUGAUAUGCUGUGACUAUGAGAUGAGUGGGAUGCCAUCAAGUAAUGGAAAUGGAAGGCCAGCAGAGAGCAAUGCCAAGCAGAAAACUAUACAUUCAGCUGACCUGCACUCAACACAGCUCCUUAUAUGUCAUCUGGGCAGGAGUCCGGUCAUCUUGCACACAUUGAACUUUGCAGCUGCUGCUGCCCUACCACCCUCGGCUCUCAGGAUCCAUUUGGCUGUUGGCAACUUCUGAACCAUUGUUGAAUUUCAGAUCUGUUCUUGGUUGGGAAACCAAUCUGAAACUUGAUUCAGCUUUUUGAAAGUCAAAGUGGCCUUUGCAUUUGGAUAUUAACUUUUUCUAGCACCUGGGGGUAGUUAUUACUGGUAGGACACUCCAGGAAUUUAAAUUUGAUUGAUUAAUUGAUGGUAAAAAUUAUAUUAUGUAAAUGCAAAUGCAGAAUUGAGUUGAGAGCUCACUGUGGCCUGAAAGCAUUUUUUAAAAGGCCAGAUUGGACCUAAGGAAAUUGGAAGUUUUUUAGUCCUUGCUAUUAAAAAAGAAAUAAUAAGUCAGACUAUAACAAUGCCAUGAAUGAAGGCCAAAGUUUCCUUCUCUUUUUCCGCCAUGUUAUCACAAUGUAUUAUCACAAUGUAACUAUUCCCCCUGUAAACUCUGAUGUAAAGGAAUCAGGCUGAGCUUUUGUGAAAGUCUUUUUUUUUUUGCUUCCCUGUCUUAUCAUGCUUAUGAACCUCAUAAACAUCAGUGCACCAAACAACUUAGGCAGAUCGAAAGACAAGGCCUGAAAACAUCGUGAUAAAAUGAAAUUGAAGAGGGUGGCACAAAAGAAUCUGUGGCCAUUAAUUUUUAUAGCUGAUGCAGCUACUAAUAUUUUAUGAGGUUUGGAACUAUUGAUAUAUAUUAAAAAAAACCCUAAUAUCUG
rnacentral:lncRNA from 1 species